rnacentral:ribozyme from 13 species
UACACACACACACAACACAUAAAAACACGCGCAUAGAGAGAGAGAGGGGUAGGAAAGCUCAUUAUCUUUAUCUCUUUUUAUUUUUUUUUCUCUCUUUGUAUACAUUCUCUCAUCUCAUUUUUUUUUGUAGAGUAAAGGGGAGUAUAUAUAUAGAGAAAGAAAUAUCAAAUUCUUGUUGAUAAAAAUAUAAAUAAAAAUAAAAUACAAAAUAUAUAAAUAAACACAGAGAAUCAACCCAUUUUUUUCUUUGGUUGUAUAAAUGUGAUUAUUUCCACAAAAGGUAUUUCCACACUAAUUAUAUUGAAUUAUUAUUGAUCGUUGCUACUACACCGAUCAAU